UACGGAGGGGGCUAGCGUUGUUCGGAAUUACUGGGCGUAAAGCGCUCGUAGGCGGCUUUGUAAGUUAGAGGUGAAAGCCCGGAGCUCAACUCCGGAAUUGCCUUUAAGACUGCAUCGCUUGAAUCCGGGAGAGGUGAGUGGAAUUCCGAGUGUAGAGGUGAAAUUCGUAGAUAUUCGGAAGAACACCAGUGGCGAAGGCGGCUCACUGGACCGGUAUUGACGCUGAGGUGCGAAAGCGUGGGGAGCAAACAGG
rnacentral:rRNA from 1 species